rnacentral:rRNA from 1 species
CCCUUAGAUGUUCUGGGCCGCACGCGCGCUACACUGACGAAGUCAGCGAGCAUCUCCUACACCGAAAGGUGCGGGGAAUCUUGUGAAACUUUGUCGUGCUGGGGAUUGAUUUUUGAAAUUCUUGAUCAUCAACGAGGAAUUCCUAGUAAGCGCAAGUCAGCAGCUUGCGUUGAUUACGUCCCUGCCCUUUGUACACACCGCCCGUCGCUACUACCGAUUGAAUGGUUUAGUGAGAUUUUUGGACUGGAACUCUCUUGUUCAGCAAUGAACGAGAGGGACUCUGGGAAGCUAUUCUAACUGUAUCAUUUAGAGGAAGUAAAAGUCGUAACA